rnacentral:misc_RNA from 1 species
UGGCUCUCGCAUCGAUGAAGAACGCAGCGAAAUGUGAUACGUAGUGUGAAUUGCAGAAUUCAGUGAAUCAUCGAAUCUUUGAACGCACCUUGCGCUCUCUGGUAUUCCAUUGAGCAUGCUUGUUUGAGUGUCGUAUUGAUUCUCAAUCCCAACAUCUCUCAUGCCUAACGGUGCGGCGAGAUUUGUAUUUGGGGAUUGGAUCGUGGCCCGUCUGCCGUCCCCGUCAUUUGGAGGACAGCUCGGCCGAAAUAUAGACAAGUGAUGGCACCCAAGCGUGUUGAUCGGCUUGAACUCGACGUUGUAAUUGCUUCCCUCGUUGAGCUACGAUUUGCGCGUCUUUGCUUCACAGCAAGGAACAUUGGGCUCACUUUGAAACCACAUCUCAUUAUUGAGCAAAAUUGACCUCAAAUCAAGUAGGACUACCCGCUGA